rnacentral:rRNA from 1 species
UACGUAGGGGGCUAGCGUUGUCCGGAAUCAUUGGGCGUAAAGAGCGCGUAGGCGGCCAGAUAAGUCCGGUGUGAAAGUCAAAGGCUCAACCUUUGAAUGCCGCUGGAAACUGUCUGGCUAGAGUCCGGGAGGGGCGAGUGGAAUUCCUGGUGUAGCGGUGAAAUGCGCAGAUAUCAGGAGGAACACCAAUGGCGAAGGCAGCUCGCU